rnacentral:lncRNA from 1 species
GAAGCCAUCUGGGAUGAAAUUGUCGGGCAAGGUCGGCGGAACCGUCCCGAACCAGAUGGUUCUGGCCGAUCCGAGCCGUACCGGUAGCUCACCGGUACAUGUCUGGCAACGGAAAUACAUGUCUGGCAACGGAAAUAAGAUCCAUUGCCAGAGUCGGAGAAGAAGAAAAGAGAGAGCGAGCACGGAGGGAGGGAGGGAGGGAGGAGGGCCGAUGGAGGCUGCGGCAGGUUCUCCUGUUUCGAACGAAACAGAGGUCCGGCCGUGGCUAAAAAAUUUCACGAUUUUUAAGUGAAGUCAGCAAAUCGUUCGCAGACUUCACUUAAAUUUUUUAGCCACAGCCGGACCCCUAUUUCAUUCGAAACAGAAGAACCAGCUACGGCCUCCGCCGGCAUCUGCUACCCUCCUCCGGCCCUCCCUCCCCCGCUCACUCUCUCUUUCUCUUUUCCUCUCUUGUACGGUGUCGUGCCCUCUCUCGGUACAAGCUCGGCAUGGCCUGUACCGAGUCAUCCCGCCGAAGAACCGGUAUAAUGUCCGAUACUAGUUUCUCCGACCUUGCUGUCAGGUAUUAGAAAUUUGGCCUUUAGGUAGUGGGUUUUGUUCGAUUUUUGGUGAAUAUCUCCCUCAACAUCAUCUACUCAUCUUGGUACAACAGGGUCACUCAUAUUUAAGGCAAGCAGAUGCAGCAGAGCAUGGACACAACCCAUGCUGGAUGCAUGCAUACACAAGUUAGAACCAAUACAACAGAUGACGUGCACAAUAAAGAAAAAAACAGAUAAUUGAAAAAGGAGAAAACUAAGUUUGGUUUUAUGUUAGAAAAUGACAUAUUUUGGUUCUGUAAGCAUGUCCUACAUUAUUUGAAAGCUCGUUAGUUUUAAGAAGAGACAAGAAAAGAGAGAGCUUAUGCUAUGUAAAAUCAAGGUAAAAAAAGGCUUGCUAAUUAUAGAUUGAUGAAAUCUUAUUCUUAAUUACUAAAAAGUUGUACAAUCUACGAAAGCAAAUUCCAAGUGGUAUCUAAAAGGAAAAUUUUUUGCUAACAUCUGUUGAUUCAUCAA